UUUGAUCCUGGCUCAGAACGAACGCUGGCGGCGUGGAUAAGACAUGCAAGUUGAACGCGAUAUUUCCGGUAGCAAUAUCGGAGAUGUUGAGUAGCGCAAGGGUGCGUAACACGUGGGAAUCUACCCUGAAGUUGGGGAUAACUCGCUGAAAGGCGAGCUAAUACCGAAUGUGGCAGCAAUGCUAAAGCUGGGGAUCGAAAGACCUGGCGCUUCUGGAUGAGCCCGCGGCCUAUCAGCUCGUUGGCGGGGUAAUGGCCCACCAAGGCGAAGACGGGUAGCUGGUCUGAGAGGACGACCAGCCACACUGGAACUGAGACACGGUCCAGACACCUACGGGUGGCAGCAGUCGAGAAUUUUUCUCAAUGGGCGCAAGCCUGAAGGAGCG
rnacentral:rRNA from 1 species